rnacentral:tRNA from 1 species
UUUCUUUAAAAAAAAUUUGAGAAUUUCUUGAUUUUUUAAAAAUCUAAACCUCAUUAUCUUAAUUUUAAAUAGUAAAAUCUGGAUAGUAGUCUGUAGUAUGGAUUUAUUCUGUAUUAAAAAAUUUGGGGGGGGCUGGGGUUGUAGCUCAGUGGUAAAGUGCAUACUUAGCUUGUAUGAAGCCCUGGGUUUAAUCCCCAGCACCACCACCAAAAAAAAAAAAAAAAAAAAAAUACUAUUUUCCAGUCCUCAUGAGUAUAAUAAAAAUUGGGGUAAGGGAGGAGAGGAAGAUGUAUGUCCAAAAGACAGGCAGGUGUUAUUAGGACAAAGAAAACAAAGAAAUAAUAAAUGUUCUAGAAGAGAUGUGUAAUUCUAUAUACAUAUCUAUAUGUACCUUGACUAACCUUCCAGGGCAGUAGUAGAAUGCAAAGAGCCAUGUUCUCAAGUAUUUGCAUCUAAAGGUUUCUUGCACAACUGACUACUUGUUUGUAGUUGGUGCAUCACCUCACUGUUCUAGCCCUCAUAUUCUGCACUAGAAAACUAAGGGUAUUAGAUUUAUGAACAACUCUGAAUUAAAAUAAUCCAACCUUCUGACUCUCUACACAGGACAUCUGGAGGAAUGUACUUACGGCUGAAAUUUGACCAGCCUACUGUGUAACAAAGUAGUACCUCGUGUAAUUUUCAAUCUGUGUAUGGGGUGAAGGUGGGAGUUCAUAACCCACUUGAAUCAAAGUGUGGAAUAUGAUAUGUCAAGAAAUUUGUAAUGUUUUGAACAACCUUAGUUUCUCAUCUUUCAAACAGUAACCACAAUAUUUAACCCUUGCCAAGCUAAGCUAAGUGUAUGAAUGUCCAAUUCCUUUCACUGUGUCCAGAACAGAGUAGGUACUCAUAACUUACAGCAGUUGUUGUUGUUAUAAUUAUUAUUAUCUUUAUUAUUAUUUGCCAGACUUGAUGCCAGGUAUCAGGGGGAAGAUGAUAAAGGGUAAGACACAUCCCUUCUCCUUAAAUAGAUUUUAUUUGAGAAAAUGAGCCAUGUGUUCAGGGUAACUUAACAAAGCCUUCCAAGGAAUCAUUAAAGGAGUUGAACAGUUAGUGCUAGACUAUAAAGGAAGGAGUGCUUUGAGGGGACCAGGAGAGGGGAGGGGUGCAUCCUGAUGCAUCCUGAGUCACACACUUACACUUUGAGCGGGGGGUACCAGGGAUUGAACUCGGGCACUCGACCACUGAGUCACAUCCCCAGCCCUACUUUGUAUUUUAUUUAGGGUCAGGGUCUCAGAGUUACUUAGCACUUAGUUUUUUCUGAGGCUGGCUUUGAACUCACCAUUCUCCUGCCUCAGCCUCCAAGCCGCUGGGAUUACAGGCGUGCGCCACCGUGCCCGGCAGACCUGCACUUUCUGAGCCUUCUAAAGCAGUGGGUAGCAAAUAUGGGUCACCAAGUCACCGUCUGUGCAUGCCUUAAGCUUCUUGCUGGCACAGGAUGGUGAGAAUCUUUGGAGAUGCCUGGUUGAUCUGAUUAAAGGAUUCCCAAAGCCUGCGCAGAUGUGGACCUAAAGAAGCAGGGAGGGGACAGAGAGGCCUGGGGAGCUCUAGAUGAGGCCAACCCAGAGGCAGUGGGAUGCAGCUUAGGACAUGCCAAGCCCUUCCAGCCCUAAGAGGCUAAACUUGUCCACGUCAGAGCUUCAGAAGCCAGAGAUAUUUGUGGCCCUUUAGUUAGCUGAAAAACAUCUUUUCUUCUUGGAGCAGAGGGCCUGCGGCGGGGCAGAGAGUAGAAUGGGCAAGAAAGGAGGCAGAGUUAGCCCCUGGGUCAUUAGGCAGCCUGGUCCUGUUUUUAUUAAGGGUCUGACAGAUAAGGCUCUGGAAGCCUGGACCGGUGCCAGAACGCAGGGGUGUGGCGUGGGCUGCUGGGUUAAUGUUCAGAAGAGAGACCAUCAGCGCCCUCACUGGGUGAGCGUAAUUGCUCGCCUGUUAAGCCUGCAUUACAAGAUCUGAGGAAAAGGACCCACUGCCCCCACUCACCAGUUCCCCAUCUCUGUCAAGGGAAACCAAAAGCGAAUGGAUGUCACGAGGAUUUGGACAGAGCCUCAGAGACAGAAGCACUUGCAACUUUGGUGCACCAAACCUUGGCUUGCAAGAUGACCUUGACUUGUCAGAUCUCUUGACUCUGCUCAAAUCUCAGUCGUCCGAGCAAUUUUCUAUAUGGUCAACUCUUUGAGCAACCUGUCCCUAAACCAAGAGUUGUACCUGAAUGAUAUCAUAGUAUGAGCUCAAUUUCAAAAAGCACUUUUCUUUUUUCUCUUCAGGCCACUUAUUCCAGCCAUUGAACCAAGCUCUUUCCAGGCCACAGGUUCACAGAUUGGGAACCUAAGGCCUGGCAAAGGUGAUGUGUGUGUGUGUGUGUGUGUGUGUGUGUGUAUGCGAAUGAUCACAUGGCCCCUUAGACAAGGAACCUGGAAGGAGCCAGAAAUAGACCAAUAUUUCACAACACAGUUGAUGCCGCUUCUGGUUUGGGCUCAGGCAAAUAACGUAAGCUCUCUGAGCCCUAGUUUCAUCAUCUUUAAUAUAGGGGCAGGCAAUGUUGCUUAUUACACAGGGAUGGUGUGGGGAUCUAAGGGGUUAAUGAUAAGAAUGACAUCAAGCUCUGAGACUGGCUAGUUCCUAAAGGCCUUUAGGACAAGUGGAAUCUUGAAUCUGAAUUUCAGUAAAGGGUAAGACGUCCUCCAACACUAGGUCAGUUUCACCCUCAUAUCCACAGACAGCCCCAGUCCUGCGCGUACCUAGGCCAAGUGCAUAUCUGAUAGCCUCCCUCUUUCUCCUUCAUCAGCAAUUUUCAGGAGCACCCCCAUCUCCCAGCUCCUUUGCUAAUCUCCCUGUAUCUCUCUUGCUUUGCAGCAUGGUCAUAUUGGCUUUGGAUUUGGGGGGAGACGUUCCCCUGAUCCUUUGGAAUGGGCUUGAGAGUAAAAGCACAGAGGUUUGGUGGGGGAAAUUGGUCAAGGACAGGCCAAGGGGGUAUCACUGCAGUUCUUCAGAACAAACCAGCUUGGGGAAUCCUGCUACCCAAUCUCAAUUUCUCUUCUAUCCUCCUCUGGACAGGCUUUUAUGGCUUGUUCCUGUCUUCUUUUCCUUUCUCUCCCCCUCCCUUCUUUCCAUCCUUUUUUCCUUCACUUUGCAUGUUCAUUUCAAACAGGAUAAUGAUGCUCGGGAGAGGAUCACAUUGUGAAAUCUACCCCCAUAAAGUUCUUCUCCUCCCAGCUAGCUCACCAUUUGCAAAAUGAGGAAGAAUUAAAUUUAUUUGACAAGGUCAUUGUGAGGAUUCUGGAUAAUGCAUAGAGCCUGAUACAUGCUGGACUUUUGAUAAAUGGCUGUGACUCUGUUGGGGUGUCAAAUGCCAUUUGUAAUGGGGGACUCUAUACCUGUUGGGACUAUGCCUGUCUCUCCGUUUCCUAGAUCUGCUGAAUGUGUGAUACACAGGUCAAUGUGGCAGCUCUAAUAUGGGAAGAAAACAACAAGGUCCCCAGAGAUCUCUUCUCCAGGCUAAGAGGAGCUGGUUCUUCAGUGGUUCCUCAUGUGAUCUGGACCUUUUCUUGUUCUGUCCAUACUUCUUUGGGUUGAGCCCAAAUUUAUCAGUGUCCCUUUUAAAGGGACACCAGAAAUUAACUGUGUGUGUCAUGGGAAAAAUCACCUCUGAGGCUGCCCUGUCUUACUGUAGACCAUGGAAGUUAAUGCCUGCUGCCACCAACGACCCAUUCCAGGGAUGUUCAGUAAGAUUUCUGGAGAUAGAGGAACAAAUAAACACAUUAAAAAUACAUGUUCUUACAGGAGAUAAGAAGACUUCAGGAAUUCUGGAAUGUUCCAUUUCUUGAUCUGGGUGAUGGUUAUCUGGGUAACUCAUUUUGUAAUAAUUUGUUAAACUAAAUAUUUAAAAACAAUUUCCUUAUUGAGAUACAAUUCACUCAUUUCAAAUCUACAAUUCAUAUGUUUUUAUAAUAUUCUCAGAGUUGUGCAGUCAUCUUCACGUUCGAUUUUUAGAACUUUUCCAUUGCAUCAAAAAGAAACCCUAAGCAACUCAGUGAAACCCUGUUUCAAAACAACAACAACAAAACAAAAAAACAAACAAAAAUAGAAAGGUCUGGGGUAGCUCAGUGGUUAAGUGGCCCUGGGCUCAAUCCCUGGUACAAAAAAAGACAAGAGACCUUGUAUACUCCAGCCAUCAUCCUCCGCUAGCUCCAACCUCACCAGUCCUAAGCAACCACUAAUCUAUUUUCUAUCUCUAGAAUUACCUUUGGGUAAAAGGUGAGAUGUAACAGUAAGUGUUACCUGUCCCAUUUUACUUAUGGGAAAACUGAGGCUGAGAGCAGUAAAAGAAUUUACUCAAGCUUCAAGAUAAUAGAAGAAAUCCUUGUCAUACCACCUAAGUGCAGUUUGCUGCUUGGAGGGGAACCUGACACCCUGGUUCUGAUAAGCCCUGAGUAGCACUGGUGCCAGCUGCUGCCAUCAAAGCCUCCAGUCACUUAGCUGUCAUUUACUUGUGGUGGUCUGUGGGCAGAGUUCUUCCUUCUCCUUCUACUAGGUGCCCUAUCUUGCUGUUUCUAGUUUUGUCCAGGCACUACACAUCUCCAUUGCUUUGAAAGUUAAGGUAGGCACGUCUGUUGGGUUCUCCAGCAAGCAGAUACUUAGGUGGAGUUAAGUCUUGCAGGGAGUAAAACUUGGGAGAGGAAAAAGCAGAAUCAGGCAAAUUCAAUCUAAGGAAGUCUUUUUUUUUUAAAGAGAGAGAGAGAGAAUUUUAAAAUAUCUAUUUAUUUAUUUAUUUUUAGUUUUCGAUGGAUACAACAUCUUUGUUUGUAUGUGGUGCUGAGGAUCGAGCCCGGGCUGCACGCAUGCCAGGAGAGCGUGCUACCGCUUGAGCCACAUCCCCAGCCCCUAAGGAAAUCUUCGCCAGCCCACUGGGCAAUGCCAAGGCAGAUGUUCAUACUACCAUUUUUCUUAGUCAUUGACUGACUCCCAUCUGCCCCCUCCAAGGAACUUGUGACCUCCACUAAGAACCUGAAGUGGACCAUAAGGAAGCAGAUGAUUACCCUCUUCAAGUCCUUUUUGGAAGAAUAUCUGAUCCUUACAUGUCCUCAUCUGCCAGUGCCCCCAGACAAAGCUAGAAACCCCUGUAGGAAGAGGGAAUUCCUGGAAUCCAGAACCACUAACUGUAGACCCGACUAAACAUUAAAGGGCAGGUUGCUUCUGGUCUCUGUGCACCCCCUUUUCUGUUAGGAGCCAUUUGUCACCAUGUUGGGGGAAUUCUUCAGGGUCUUUGGUCCUUAGUGCUGAAGGACUUGGAAUUAGGUGGCUUGCUCUAAUGCACUCUGUGCUGUUAUUUCUGAGUGAAUUCAGAUCUCUGCUAAUGGUCAUAGUCACCAUUGUCAUUGUCAUCACCACCUUCACCAUGACCGUCUUCCCCAGCAUCAAAGAACAUUCUUAAAAUACCAACUCCUCUGUGAUGCCUGAUUGAAUUACAAUGCAAAGGAAAGAUUCCAACUCACUGUCUUCUAGACCUUCUUGUAUGAAGGUCAAUCAUAUACUAAACCAAACAGAGAAUAAACAGUGAAUUUCUGAGAUCCAUGGUCCUGGGCUUGCAAUUUCCUCUCUGUGAAAUAAGAAUGGCUUUGGCGGCCUCCUGCCCAGCCCUAAAGGAUCAGGGAGACUUGAGGAGAUAAUGGAGGUGAGAGCCUGUGAGCACUCCAUUCCACUCUUAUCAAAGCAUCUUUCGCCCGAGGCUCUUGAAACCUCUUAAAAGCACCAUCACAUUUUCAUCAUAUAAAAAUUGCCCAAGAGAGACUUUGUCAUUACCAGCUCUUGGUGGGAAUCUGGCAUUCAUCCUCACAUUCCUCUAUGAUCACAGAGUCUUGUUGAUCCAAAGAGACCACAAAGGGCAUCAUUCUUCUGGCCUAUCUGAGGAGAAGUCUGGGGCCAAAGGCAAAAGCACCAGAGGACCUUUUUGUGCCUCCCUCUGCAUGGGUCCAGGAAGUGGUUCACAAGUGUGGUCCUCAACACCCUGGUCCUCUUGGCAGGCCAACUCUUUUCCAAGCUAACUUUUAUUUAAUUCUACUUCCUACUGCAGACCCACUAAAAGGAUUUUGCCAGCUGUCCAUAUUUAUGUAGCUAGUAUGUCACAGGGACAGAGCAUGUCCAAGGUUCUGUGGGAACACGGAAGCCAGGGAAAGCAGUUAGGGACUUCCCUCCACCUCCUCAUUCUCAGGUGAGGCAUGCAGAGGGAGCAGGCGCAGAGCCUGCAGGACACGGCUCCCUGAUUGAAGUGUCCUUGCUCUUGCUUCCAGGGUGUACUGUAAGAUGGAAAGAACUUGGGCUUUAGAGGUAAUUGGAUCUGGUCUGCCACUUACUGACUGUUUGACCUUGGGCAAAUGACUUUACCACUCAGAGCCUCAGUUUCCUCAGCGGUUAAUUAGAGAUAAUAAUACUCACUCUGCCGAGUGACUGAAUCACAAUAGGUACUUGAUAAAUGGUAAUUAUAAUAAUCCUUAAAUUUUCUGCUAUAAAUUCCACAGGUAGCUAUUAAAAAUUUACUCUUUCUUUAUUCAUUUGUUCAAUGAAUAAAGAAAAAAGAAUGAAUGUUCCAUCCAUUCAUAAAAUAUUUAUGAAUUCAGAAGUGAGUUGGACUCAUAGGAGGUUCUACCAAGAAAUGGAAAGCAGGAUCCCUGGGGUUGGGGGUUUAACUCAGUGGCAGGGUACUUGCUUAGUACCUACAAGGCUCUGGGUUUGGUCCUUGGCACUGGGGGAAAAAAAUUAAAAAGGAAAGAAAAGAAAGAGAAAGCAGAAUCCCUGAGCUCAAGAAACUCAAACUUGGAAACAGUUGAAUUAUAAGAUGGGGACAGUUGUACCUUCUUGACUGUGUUGCUAUGACAGUUGAGUGAGCUAAGCUUGCCAGGUGUAUAGCUUGGUGUCUGGCCCCAAGUAGACUCAAUGAGGGUGUAACCAGACUGGGGUUGGGUCUGAUAUGGGACCUCCCAAUAUGGCCUUCACUUAGAUGGGCUUCUUUCAAGGAUCUGUGUACCUAAUUCUGUUUUUGUUGUCACUUUGUUUUGAUCUGGUUUUCAUUCCUGUAGAGGGCCUCUCAAGUUGCAUAACCUUCAGGGCCCACAAGUCUUGGAUUGCACUUCACAGGGGACUGGGUUUUAAAGUUGGAUGAUAAAAUAGAGAUCUCAUGCUCUGAGAGUCUGAGAACUACACAGGUAAUCAGGAUACCUUGAGAUCUGAAAGAAAAGUAUUAAUCAAGGAGAGCUAAAUAAUGGAACAAGGAUUUGAAAAUGGCAAGUUACAAGACUGAGAGGAAAAAAUGAGAUGAAGGCAUGUACUUUGAGCAGAAUCCCCAUUCCACUUUUAGUUUAUCUGUUCAAGAAAUAUGCUGAUUUUUGGCCUUUGAAGCCACAGUGUUCUGAUUUUACUUAUUUCUGUCACUAUGGCAGAUACCUGAGAUAAGCAACUUAUAAAGGAGAAGAUUUAUUUUGGCUUGUGGUUUCAGAGGUUCCGGUCCAUGAUCAGUUGGUCCUGUGGCUAUUAGAGCUGUGGCGAGGUGGUACCUCAUGUCACGACAGGAGGAACAAAACUGCUCACCUUAAAGCAAGCCAGGGGCGAGGAGGUGGAGGAGGACGGUUCCACAAUCCCCUUCAAGGACAGGCUCCCUACAACCGAAAGACCUUCCAGCAGCCCCACCUCUCACAUGUUCUGCCACCUCCCAAUAUAACCUCCCUAUGACCAAGCCUUGAACACAUGGGCCUUCUGGGGACACUGAAGAGCCAAAUCAUAGUGCACCAUGACUGUGGACAGACCAAGCAACCUUUUCAGAAUUUCAGUUUUCUCAUGUAUAAAAUGAUGAUAAUUGUAAUAUUAUUUAGUAAUGCAAGUAAUAUUGUGUGAAAUUAGAGAGAUAUUUUUGAGAAAGUGCUUUAUAAUCCGUAAAGAGCUCUGUUGGUCCAUAUUGAUUCCAAUUCAUUUUCAGGAUUUUCCCAGAAGAAAACCUGGCUCAUUACAUGAUUUUAAGCAAUUCUCUUAACUUUUCCAAGCCUUGGUUUCCGCAUCUCAAUCAUGAAAAUAAUUAUAGUUUGCCUUCAGUGCAGUUAUUAAACACCAAUGAAGUC